UACGUAGGGGGCAAGCGUUGUCCGGAUUUAUUGGGCGUAAAGAGCGUGUAGGCGGCCUGGAAGGUCAGCUGUGAAAACUCGAGGCUCAACCUCGAGACGUCGGUUGAAACCACCUGGCUAGAGUCCGGAAGAGGAGAGUGGAAUUCCCGGUGUAGCGGUGAAAUGCGCAGAUAUCGGGAAGAACACCGGUGGCGAAGGCGGUUCUCUGGGCCUGUACUGACGCUGAGGAGCGAAAGCGUGGGGAGCGAACAGG
rnacentral:rRNA from 1 species